rnacentral:rRNA from 1 species
AUUGAACGCUGGCGGCAUGCUUUACACAUGCAAGUCGAACGGUAACAGGCCUUCGGGUGCUGACGAGUGGCGAACGGGUGAGUAAUGCAUCGGAACGUGCCCAAUCGUGGGGGAUAACGUAGCGAAAGUUACGCUAAUACCGCAUAAGCCCUGAGGGGGAAAGCAGGGGAUCGCAAGACCUUGCGCGAAUGGAGCGGCCGAUGUCAGAUUAGCUAGUUGGUGGGGUAAAGGCCUACCAAGGCGACGAUCUGUAGCGGGUCUGAGAGGAUGAUCCGCCACACUGGGACUGAGACACGGCCCAGACUCCUACGGGAGGCAGCAGUGGGGAAUUUUGGACAAUGGGCGCAAGCCUGAUCCAGCCAUGCCGCGUGCGGGACGAAGGCCUUCGGUUGUAAACCGCUUUCAGCCGGAAGAAUACGCCAAGGCUAAUAUCCUUGUGGAUGACGGUACCGGAAGAAGAAGCACCGGCUAACUACGUAGCCAGCAGCCGCGGUAAAGUC